GGGGCUGGGCCGGGGCCAUCAUGGCGUCUGCCAUGAGCUCCUCUGUUCUCAGAGUGGGCACAAUCGGCUCGGCUUUUUUCCAUUGUACUGCCAAAAUUCACCGAUUUUGAGCACCAAAGGGAGCUUUUCAGAGGGAAUACAGAGGACUUAGGUAUGGCAGGGAUUGUGAAAGAUGUGGUUUGCAGAGGAGCCUGGCCAGGGCUGGUCUGCUCCCCUCUCUCCCGGGACGGGGGUGGGGAAGGGGGAGGGCGGCUAGCCUGGCCACCUCCCGGCCACUCCUCUGGGGUUUCUGGUUCUCAAGUGGAAUAAGGGAAGGCUUCUGGGUCCCCUCAGAACUCCUCUUUCUCCUCUCCUCCCGGUCCUGCUGUUGCUGCCUGCAUUCUGCCCUGUCCCUGAUCUUUGCUUGCUUGUGUGCAUUCUUUGCUUGCUUUGCACUUUCCAUUGUUACAAAUUUUAAGACCGUCCUGAAUAUUGGACGCAGCUUUAAGUUGGACUUCUUAUUCUUUUCCAUGUUAUGUAAUUUCAGUCCAACCGAAUCCCGGAAUUCUGGAUCGAGUUUCUGAGACAUGUCUGAGUUUGGGAACUCUGUUAAGACCCAUUUUACAAGCUUUUUAAACUGUUUGUUGUCAAACUGAAUAUCUUGAAUUUCUAACUUAUAAUUGAAAUAUGAAAAAAAAAUCCUGCUCAGCUAAAGACAACCAAUUUCCCAUGGUGGCACUCACCAGAGUUUUCCAGUUGUGCUUCUUGGUAUGAAAUUCCUCCCCGGUCCUGGGUCACAACAGUGACAAAUCAGCUGAGCUGAGCGGCAGAGUCCUCUGAGGCUGCGGUGCUGCUCCAGUCCCGUCUCUGAUUACAGCCUCCUCUUCACCAGUAUGAGGCUUUGAUUCCAGAUUCCCUCUCAAUCUCAAAUGCCUUCUUCUGGGUUUUCUAUUUUAAAGCGACAAAAAACUCAGGUGCAGGCCUGCUCCCCCAAAACACGCAAAUAUCAAGUAAAAAUGUCCUAUUUUGAUGGAGGUAAUCAAAAAAUCCCUAGACCAUCUUCCUCAAUAGGAGAAAUACUGUCCGGGCGCCACGUGCUGGGUUCUUUUUUCUCGGGCCGGGUGUUAUAAACCUUCAAAAAGGGAACCCAGCACACCCAAGGAUAGCUCAGCUAUUACCUUUGGAGGCAAAUAAUGAGCAGGAUGGCUUCUGCUGCAGUGUUAGAAACAAAAAGGUUUAAUAAAAGGCAAAAUGACAAACAGAAAAUCCGAUCCAGGUACAGCAGUCUGCCACUGGUAUAAACACCUUCACAAAAGCCUCGUGGUCCUUUUGUCCUCCUCUUUUCUACUUGAUGGGCCAGGCAGGACCUUUUCGCUUCUAUCCAAUUAGGUGACCCCAAGGUUUUAGUGAAGCCUCUGGGGUCUUAUGAGGUGGCUUUUCACCUGAUAGUUGGGAGAAACUUCUGGGCUUUUUUACUUUUUUGGGGGACAAAGGCUAGCUUUGCCACUCUGUCAUUAGGGGGGCACUCUCCUACACCUCCCCACUGGGGAACAGCUCCAUCUGAUCCAGCUGUCCCUCUUCCUUUCUCCAGAAAUGAAAGGAGAGCCUGUGCAGAAGGAAGCAUUUCCCAGAGGAAGCAGUGCUUCCAUGCCAGCCUCUGCUGCAGGAAGGGAGGCGAUGCCAGGCACAGGCACAGGAGAUUGGGAUCGUGACUUGCAUCAUUUGGAAAUGCUGGUAAACCAUGGUUUAAGGAUCUUGGAGCUUGAUGAUGCUGAAGUUGAUGAAGAUGAUGCUGUUGAUGAAGAUGAUCGGGAUUCCCAGCCCAUACCCAUUACUGAGCCUCUGGGAGAUGCUGAGGGUGUGUCUGCAGGGAGGACUUCUCCUGCUCCUUUGCUGAUCCCUACACAGAAGCCUGGCUCCCAUCGCAGAGGUCCCCUGAGAAUGGAGAACAAACUUAGAGGAGACACUAAGUCCUGGAGGCAUCCAAACACAUGGAGGAGAUGCCGAGUGAUCUGGAGAGACGCCAUGGUGGGUGCAUUUCCCUCAUGCUUCCCCUGGGACUCAGCAGCCGGGGCCUUUGGCUGCACAUCUGGACACGCCGUGCCCGGAACAGCGGGAAGGGAUCCAUGGCAGCCUCGCUGCCCCGCUGCUGCUGCUGCUGCUGCUUUGACACCCUGCAGGGCUGUUUCCCAACCUGGCCUGGCUGUAGCCUUUUCCCAGCCCCUGCAGGAAGGCAUUGGGCAUUAGCUGACAGGCAGCCCAAACUGCACCAUGUGCCUGAGAUCCCCUGAAAUUUCAUAGUCUCCAGGAUGAUCACUAAGGGUGGGUAUUAUGAUGAAGAUGGGCCCUGGUCUACCCAGAAAAUUGUGUGGAUUCCUGAUCCUUAACCAUGACUUUCACAAGUACUGGCUGCUGAAGAUGCCACCUCCCCAGUGGGGAACAGCCCCACCUGAUCCAGCCGUCCCUCUUCCUUUCUCCAGAAGUGGAUGGAGAGGCAGGGCAGAAGGAAGAAUUUCCCAGGAGAAGCAGUGGCUCCAUGCUAGCCUCUGCUGCAGGAAGGGAGGCCAUGCCAGGCA